rnacentral:rRNA from 1 species
GGUGGACGGGUGAGUAACGCGUAGGAAUCUACCUCUUGGUGGGGGAUAGCCCUUUGAAAAAAGGUGUAAUCCCGCAUAAGUUCUCUGGAAGAAAGGCCGUAACUGGUCGCCGAGAGAGGAGCCUGCGUGCUAUCAGCUUGUUGGUGAGGUAAAGGCUCACCAAGGCUAUGACGGCUAGGGGGCGUGAGAGCGCGACCCCCCACAAGGUCACUUAGACACGGGGCCUACACCUACGGGUGGCAGCAACCAAGAAUAUUGCGCAAUGGGCGAAAGCCUGACGCAGCGACACCGCGUGUGGGAAGACGCCUCUAGGGGUGUAAACCACUGUGGCAGGGGAGGAAUUUUGACAGUACCCUGCUAGAAAGCACCUGCUAACUACGUGCCAGAAGCCUCGGUAAUACGUAGGGUGCGAGCGUUAUCCGGAUUUAUUGGGCGUAAAGCGUUCGUAGGCGGACUGGUAAGUGGCGGGUUAAAUGCCUCGGCUCAACUGAGGAAAGGCUCGUCAUACUGCUAGUCUUAGAGAGUGUUCGGGGAGGUUGGAAUUCUCGGUGGAGGGGUGAAAUCCGUUGAUAUCGAGAGGAACGCCAAGGGUGAAGACAGGCCUCUAGGACAUUUCUGACGCUGAGGGACGAAAGCUAGGGUAGCAAACGGGAUUAGAGACCCCGGUAGUCCUAGCUGUAAACGAUGGAUACUAGAUGCCCCGUUCGCCAAGAAUGAAAGGUAACUUUUGUUUUUGGUGAGUGGGGUGUCGUAAGCUAACGCGUUAAGUAUCCCGCCUGGGGAGUACGGCCGCAAGGUUAA